GGCCCCGAGGUGGGCGGGCUGCGCCAGGCCGUCCCGCAGGCUCCCUGCCCGGCCGGCUCGGGGACGGGACGGGGAUCGCUUCCCGACCCGGACCCGUGGGCCCGUGUUCGGUUCGGCCUCGCGGGACCGUUUCUCGGUCUGAUCCGCUCGAGCGCCGACCUGGACUCGGGGGCGGUCACCCCAGCGCCGAGCGAGCGGCCGGUUCUCCGGAAACGCGUUCAGGAUAUAAGAUCCCUGUCAUCGAGGAUCUGGGUGCGACCUUAGACCAGUUCGAUGCCAUUGAUUUUUCUGACAAUGAAAUGCAGAAACUGGAGGCUUCCCUCGCGGAGGAGACUGAAGACCCUCCUGGUGAACAACAACCGGACAUGGGUGACCUGGACCCACCGGCGUCGCUCAAGUCGCUGACCUACCCGAGGUAGGAGAUGACCCGGUGACAGUGAGUCCCUUACAACAACUCCCUGCCCGGCCUCGACCUUACCAGCCAGGAGGACAACGGAAUGCUGAAUGGAACUGGAACUGGGAAAGCCUUGCGCGGGGCAGCUGCAUUCCCGACUGUGAGCCAGGCACCUACUUCGACUCGGAGCUGAUCCGAUGCGGGCAGUGCCACCCCACCUGCAGGACCUGCGUGGGCCGCACUUCCGGGACUGGACGUGUGUGCCCGCCUGUGGCGAUGGCUACUACCCCGAGGCGAUGCCCGGCCUCCCCACAGAGUCUGCCGGAGGUACGUGCCGCCCGACCGUCCUUCGAUCUACACCCGCCGGCCUCAUCCCUCCGGCGCACCCCAAUGGGAACCCCCACGUUUACCGAAUCUUCAGACCAAAGCGGAGCAUCAAGCACGUAGCCUCCCCGUCACGUCACGCCGGGCUCCUAGCAUCUCCAAGGUCAACCUCAGUCGCACCGGAUCCCGCUGGCGGGACGGGCCUUCCACACGCGUGAUGAGGGGCCCAGCUGCCCGUGUCCAUCCACCAGGACUGUGCGCCAGACGGCACCCGGGACCUCCUGCUGCCAAACCUGUGUCAGGCACGUGGAUCAGCUGCCCGCUCCGGUUCUCACCCAGGGGGGUCCUGUGGACAGAGCCCCAAUAUUUUCCUGGAAAUGCACCGAUCGGCUCCCAGGAACUAGAGUAACCUUUGCUUUAAAGUUUCUCUCGAGCUUGUACGUGUCCGUUGUUUCCGGCUCCCCCCUCGGACCAUCAUGCAUCUGACAUGUCUCGGGGAGCAGGGGGAGCCCCCCACAGGAGUGAAUAGAAAUCAUGAAACAUAGGGAGACGCCCUCAGAGCAAAUGCAGUGUUAAUCCUAAGUUAAUAAAAGAGUUAACAGCCCACAGCCAAGGACUCUUUCUUUCCUGGGCACAGCGAUGACACCUGGGUGCUGCUGGCCGGUGUGGCUCAGUGGUUGAGCUUUGACCGGGAGGUCACAGGUCCGAUUCCUGGUUCGAAGCUCCAUCCUCAGUGUGGGGGUGCAGGAGACAGCCGAUCAGUGAUUCUCAUCAUGGAUGUUUUUCUUUCUAUCCCUCUCCCUUCCUCUCUGUAAAAAUAAAAUAAAAUAUA